rnacentral:rRNA from 1 species
UACGAAGGGGGCUAGCGUUGUUCGGAUUUACUGGGCGUAAAGCGCACGUAGGCGGUUUGUUAAGUCAGGGGUGAAAUCCCACAGCUCAACUGUGGAACUGCCUUUGAUACUGGCAAGCUAGAGUCCGGAAGAGGUAAAGUGGAACUCCGUAGUGUAGAGGUGGAAUUCGUAGAUAUUAGGAAGAACACCAGGUGGCGAAAGGCGGCUUGACUAGGUCCGGGCAAACUGACCGCUG